CGACGAAAGUUCCUCAGUCUGGAAACAACCGCGCAGUUGAGCGGACGGGUGAGAAUCGCGCUCCGCAGAUUUCGAGUCCCGGGUUCUUUACCUCCUGGAUCUUGCGCUUCGGGUACGCUUCCUGAUGCAACUCGACUUCCAGGACAAGCGCUCCGUAGUUCUUGCGCUCCGGGUACGCUACCUGGAGAAACUUGACUUUCAGGACAAGCGCUCCGUAGUUCUGGCUGUCCAGGUCCUUGACCUGGUGACUUUCGAUCUUCAGGACUAAUUUUUCGUAGAUUUGGCCGUCCAGGUCCUCCACCUGGUGGAUCUUGACCUCCAGGACAAGCGCUCCGUGGUUCUGGCUGUCCAGGUCCUUGACCUGGUGACUUUCGAUCUUCAGGACUAAUUUUUCGUAGAUUUGGCCGUCCAGGUCCUCCACCUGGUGGAUCUUGACCUCCAGGACAAGCGCUCCGUGGUUCUGGCUGUCCAGGUCCUUGACCUGGUGACUUUCGAUCUUCAGGACUAAUUUUUCGUAAAUUUGGCCGUCCAGGUCUUCCACCUGGUGGAUCUUGACCUCCAGGACAAGCGCUCCGUGGUUCUGGCUGUCCAGGUCCUUGACCUGGUGACUUUCGAUCUUCAGGACUAAUUUUUCGUAGAUUUGGCCGUCCAGGUCCUCCACCUGGUGGAUCUUGACCUCCAGGACAAGCGCUCCGUGGUUCUGGCUGUCCAGGUCCUUGACCUGGUGACUUUCGAUCUUCAGGACUAAUUUUUCGUAAAUUUGGCCGUCCAGGUCUUCCACCUGGUGGAUCUUGACCUCCAGGACAAGCGCUCCGUGGUUCUGGCUGUCCAGGUCCUUGACCUGAUGACUUUUGACUUUCCGGACUAAUUUUCAAGUUUACAAGUUUGUUUAUUGAAAACGUCAUGUUUUGUACUACCAACCCAAUAUGCAUGCUUCAGAUGACACUUUGAAUUGGAAAAAAAACCGAAGAACCAGGAUAAAGAAAUUGCAAUUGGCAGAUUCGGUUUGCGUCACAUGCACAAACACAGUGUUCAUUCUGUAUACCGUGAAGUAAAUACCAGAAUUUUUUGAGGAGUCAUCGUGCCCCAGUCUCCCCUACAACUAUGCCAUCUGGUAAAAUACUGACAACGAAUAAGCGAGCGAACGAGCACAGAAACCAGUUACACUAGGCAUCCGACGCCGAACGAGCUUUAGCGAGCGAGGGUUUCAAAACUAGUCACUUUUAAUGGAAAUGGAAUGGAUUUUACGAUCAGGAUGAAAAGUUCAGGAAUUUCCACAGGUUGGAUGCACUUUAAUUAUGGGGAUAACAGAUCUUGAAACUGAAAACCUCUGGGGCUGGUCUUGCAUUCUUUGCGUCACCUACGUACCAAAAUUAAAAUUUAGUUUUCAUUCCCAAUGGCUCUGAAUGGACAUUCUUAUAUGUAUAAAUUGAGCGUAAUGAUAAUCAAAAUUUUCGUCAUGUCUUCAACUCCAUGGGCUUUCUUGAUCCGCGUGAGCUUUCGUAAAAUUGCCCAGACUAGACAGUUUGCUGUAUCGACAUCUGGUCAAGUACCUUUGCGUCGCGUAAACUACUUCAAGGGAAUGUUCGAUGUCGACGAUGUGAAGUGGCAAGGCGCAGGAAAAAGUUCCAAAAAGUACCUGACUGGAAUAAAAUGCCGCUCGUAGGAAUGUGUAGAAAGUAUAAAGACGGGGAAAGGAUUGUAUUUGUCAAAAAUCAACGACAAAUGUACAACGACUUUUGCCCCUGUUGGUCAGAAAAGUUUCGCAGGGAGAAAUUUCUCCGAUUUCUACCGUUGGCUGAACUUAAAUUUUAAUGAAGUCCAUGCACGAGGACCGGUGUGGGGACAGACGCUCGUACUUGCUGUACUAAAAUAUUCAGAAAUCACGUCGCAUCUAAUCAAAGCUUACAUUCGUACACAUAUAGAAGAAAUAUUCAUACGCAGGAGAAAAAAAAUAAAAAAAAUAAAAAAAUUCAUAUUUCCAUCAGACGUGGAUUGGGUACUCGACGAGUAACGUCAUGCGUUAAGAAUGCAUGCGGAGGAAUAAAAUUUUGUGUAAAUUGUGUGAAAUUUUUUUACCCGCAGUGAAAUACCGUACAGGAUUUCUCACUGGUUUUUUGUUUGUUUCUUUCUUUUUUGUCGAAUUCACGCAAGUUAAAGCCGCGGGUAAAAACUUGCGGAUGAAAAUCGAAAGACUAAUACCUGUACAACAGAGACACCGCCGGUGGAACGAAGCGCGCGUUUAUAUGAACUUUAUCCUUAAGGUGAAAAAUAUACGAGUAUACCUAUAUGUAUAGCUUGCAGCGUUGCGAUUCGCGAUGCAGGGAUAACACUGAUGCACAUGUAGUUGAUUAUCUCCUUGUUACCGUCCUACCAGAAAGUUUUCUCCGCUGCGCCGAGGUAUAUGACCCUUGUUUAAAUAAUUAUUUAAUUAAUUAGGCGCCCUAACAGCCAUGAGAGAUGCUAAAGCCAUGUGGCUGAUAACCACGAGCUUGGUGUAGCGGUAAAGUACUCUCCUCUGAACUUGGCUGUCGCCAUGCUCUAUUCACACUCUCGAAGUUCCUCCGCCGCGUGACAACGAUGAAGCACAAUUGCCUCCCGCUAUAUCCCUCCUCUCCCUAUACUCCCUUCACUCCCUCCACUUCUCUCUACUUCUCUCAAGAUAAUUCUCCCACAGUGUGGAAACGCGGAUAAUGCAGCGAACUAAAUCUCAUGUGUGAAUCGAGGCGGGUAAAAAACGGUGGGAUACGAAGGCAAUUACAAAAUCACUCUUCCGACCACCAUUGACAUACUUAAUGGGAUCAAAAUCCAGUCAGUCAAUCGCAAGAGUUAGGUACAUAUAAAUUUAGCAGCACUCAGCCCCCGAAAAUUUGUAAAUUAUGAGAAAAUGGAUCCGACAAACUGGAUAGCUAGAGAAUAGAAA